AGCAGGACGGGCCGUGAGCGCCCGCGCCCUCGGGCGGGGCGGAACCUCGGGGCCCAACCCCUGCUCGCGCCUCCCAGGACCCUGAGCCGCGGGGGCAGAGGCCGGCCUGGGGGCGCCUGGCCAGCGGACGGCGAGGAAGGGGCUCACACGCGCUCGGCCGGGGCUCUGCUCCCGACACCCGGUGCGACCGGGGUCGGAACACAAGCGCGUUUCAACUCAGACGCGGCGGGGAAGGAGAGAGGACGAGGCCGAACCCCGACCCCUAACACAGCCCCGUCCUGACGUCCUGGGGGCCAGGGCUUCAUCCUGCGGAUUCUGGGGACGCUUUUCGGCCCACACCACGCAUGAAGCCACAAAAAUGGGGAAGUAGAGAGGCAGUCUCUUUCCUGACCGUUCAUCCAGGCUCCGUGAAGGUCACGGGUAAGGAAGUGACUGGAUGGUGUUCGAGGGUGAACAGGGGUCCCCAAGAGACACAGCCUCGUCCUGACCCCAUGUCUGUGAACAAGGCCUUAGUGGGAAGAAGGGUCUUGGCAGAUGUGAAGUGAGGGGCCUGAGAGGAGGUCCUCCUGGAUGAGGGGGGCCCUCCAUCCAAGGACAGUGUCCUCCUAAGAGACAGAAGUGGAGACCCAGAGGAGGGGAGGAGAAGCCACGGGAAGACGGAGGCAGAGACGGGAGGAGCCCCCAGACGCUGGAAGAGGCAGGAAGGACCCUCCCUGGAGCCUCUGGCGGGGGCGCGGCCCUGGGCCCCCUUGACCUCUGGUGUUCAGAAGGGGAGAGGAUGAAUAUGGGAUUUUUUUGUUUUUCCCUUUUUCUGGUUUAGCUGCCCCACGGCACAAGGAGUUCCUGGGCCAGAGAUCAGAUCCGAGCCUCGGUUGUGACCAGAGCGGCAGCGACAGCGAGGCAGCAUCCUCCAACCCACUGCGCGGGGCCGGGAUGGAACCUGUGUCCUGGAGCGGCAGCGACGCCCGUGCUCGCCGUGCGCCACAGUGAGGGCUGGGAGUCUGGGGUGUUUUCCACCCAGGCUGUGUGCUCUGUUCGAGUCGCCUCCGUAACCCCUUCCGGGUGAUGGACCGACGCUGUACGUCCAGCUCGGAACUGGAGGGUCAUCUCCUGUCGUGGGAGCCCCGCCCCACCUCCACCACGACAGCAGCCCCAGGGGACAGGACAGCUGACGGGGAAGGAAAGAGGAAAAAAGUGAUCCGAUGACAGGAUCAGUGGGCUGACGACACGGAGGACCCUGCGUGUUCCUCUCCCUGGUGUGAGACGACCCCACUGUGCCCCGGGCAGGACUCAGGCUUGCCAAGCGCAUGGGAUGCAUCAAGGCACGUGUGUCCGCCCGGGGCUGUCCCGGAAGCUGCCGUGUCCUGUCCCAUCACUAGUGUUACCAGGACAGACGAGCCCACAACGCCACCAGCUCCCAGCCCUGCAUGGUGACAAGCUCCCCCACUGUCCCCACGAGAGCCCCUGACGUGAGGCCUCAACGGAGUGGACAGGAGGUCCCAGGGCUGCAGUUGAGAAGGACCCUCAGCCGCGGGAGCCUCGCCGGGUGAGACCAGAGGCGGGGAGCAGACAGCGGGGACGCACCGACCACGAAUACAACAAAUGCUGGAGAACCGAGAACCGCGCUCGAGGUGAAGGGACGUGAAAGAAAGCAUCACAUCACGACACGCAGGUUUAAGCAGCUGAAGGCGCCCAGCACAGUGGACCCUCUACCAGAUGGGCCCACGGCACCCUCAACUGCAUCCCGCAUCUGCACGCUGAGCACCUGCGCUCUGGAGCCGGAGCUGGGAGCUGGUGGCCUCUGCUAAGAAGGUCCUGCGCGUCGAUGAGCAGGUCGUGGUCGGUGUCCAGCUCCCAGAACUUGCAGUAGAUGACGUAGAAGUGCUCGUACGAGAAGAACUCUGUCAGCUGGUUGAUGUCCGCUUCCUCUUCCAGCAGCGCCACG